GCACCUUCGGGUGUGAAUUAGCGGCGAACGGGUGAGGAACACGUGAAGAAUCUGCCUUCAACUCUGGGAUAACUCCGGGAAACCGGGGCUAAUACCGGAUAUGAGCCUUGAUCGCAUGAUUGGGGCUGGAAAGUUUUUCGGUUGAAGAUGACCUCGCGGCCUAUCAGCUUGUUGGUGAGGUAAUGGCUCACCAAGGCGACGACGGGUAGCCGGCCUGAGAGGGCGACCGGCCACACUGGGACUGAGACACGGCCCAGACUCCUACGGGAGGCAGCAGUGGGGAAUAUUGGGCAAUGGAGGAAACUCUGACCCAGCGACGCCGCGUGAGGGAUGAAGGCCUUCGGGUUGUAAACCUCUUUCAGUAGGGAAGAAGCGAAAGUGACGGUACCUACAGAAGAAGCACCGGCUAACUAUGUGCCAGCAGCCGCGGUAAUACAUAGGGUGCAAGCGUUGUCCGGAAUUAUUGGGCGUAAAGAGCUCGUAGGUGGUUCGAUACGUCGGAUGUGAAAAU
rnacentral:rRNA from 1 species